AUAUCAUUAAGCGGAGGAAGAGAAAUUAACGAAGAUUGCCUUAGUAGCGGCGAGCGAAGCGGCAAGAGUCCAAUUCUAAAAUCUGGGGUGUUCCACCUCCGAAUUGUAAUCUAAAGAGGUUAGCAAAAGGGGAGGCUGAAGCAUAAGUUCCUUGGAAGAGGACAGCAUGGAGGGUGAUACUCCCGUGAUUCCUUGGUCGGCGUGCGCGUACGACACGUUUUCUUCGAGUCGCGUUGUUUGGGAAUGCAGCGCAAAGCAGGUGGUAAAUUCCAUCUAAAGCUAAAUACUGGUGCGAGACCGAUAGCGAACAAGUACCGUGAGG
rnacentral:rRNA from 1 species